GACGAACGCUGGCGGCGUGCUUAACACAUGCAAGUCGAACGGAAAGGCCCUGCUUGCAGGGUACUCGAGUGGCGAACGGGUGAGUAACACGUGGGUGAUCUGCCCUGCACCUCGGGAUAAGCUUGGGAAACUGGGUCUAAUACCGGAUAGGAACCAUCUUUAGUGUGGUGGUUGGAAAGUUUUUUCGGUGUAGGAUGAGCUCGCGGCCUAUCAGCUUGUUGGUGGGGUAAUGGCCUACCAAGGCGGCGACGGGUAGCCGGCCUGAGAGGGUGUACGGCCACAUUGGGACUGAGAUACGGCCCAGACUCCUACGGGAGGCAGCAGUGGGGAAUAUUGCACAAUGGGCGCAAGCCUGAUGCAGCGACGCCGCGUGGGGGAUGAAGGCCUUCGGGUUGUAAACUCCUUUCGCUAGGGACGAAGCUUUGUUGUGACGGUACCUAGAUAAGAAGCACCGGCUAACUACGU
rnacentral:rRNA from 1 species